rnacentral:rRNA from 1 species
GACGAACGCUGGCGGCGUGCCUAAUACAUGCAAGUGGGACGCAAGGGAACACACUGUGCUUGCACACCGUGUUUUCUUGAGUCGCGAACGGGUGAGUAACGCGUAGGUAACCUGCCUAUUAGCGGGGGAUAACUAUUGGAAACGAUAGCUAAUACCGCAUAAUAUUAAUUAUUGCAUGAUAAUUGAUUGAAAGAUGCAAGCGCAUCACUAGUAGAUGGACCUGCGUUGUAUUAGCUAGUUGGUAAGGUAAGAGCUUACCAAGGCGACGAUACAUAGCCGACCUGAGAGGGUGAUCGGCCACACUGGGACUGAGACACGGCCCAGACUCCUACGGGAGGCAGCAGUAGGGAAUCUUCGGCAAUGGACGAAAGUCUGACCGAGCAACGCCGCGUGAGUGAAGAAGGUUUUCGGAUCGUAAAGCUCUGUUGUAAGUCAAGAACGUGUGUGAGAGUGGAAAGUUCACACAAGUGACGGUAGCUACCAGAAA